GUUUCGUAAACAGGGUAGUUCUCCCUAAACCGAGAUUCUUUUUUCUGGAAAUUCUGGACUUAAAUGAUCUCUAUAUAAAGCACCCGAGCAAAGUUGCGGCAUCCAGAUUUCAUGUGAUAUCUGUCAUUUGAAAGCUUCGUGGCUAUAAUAAUAAACUCAUGCAAGAAAUAUGAUGGAUGUCGAACAUCUUUUGAAUUAUCCUAACGAGAAUGAUGCAGUUAUGGAGUCUCCAACAGACGAAGAAAUUAUUGAGUCAGUAGUGAAUAAUGAGAAUGAUCCUGAACCAGAUGAUAAUAACGGCGUACCAAAUGUGUCAUCUAAAGAUGAUUUUCAAGCGAUGGUCACAUUAAAAAAUUACUUGCUACAACACGAGCAAAAUAUUCCAGAAAUUGUGCAAGCAUUGCAUAAAAUUAAGGAUACGGUGCAUUUUGAUUUGGGUGGAAG